rnacentral:rRNA from 1 species
CCUACGGGAGGCUGCAGUGGGGAAUAUUGGACAAUGGGGGGAACCCUGAUCCAGCGACGCCGCGUGAGCGAAGAAGUAUUUCGGUAUGUAAAGCUCUAUCAGCAGGGAAGAAAAUGACGGUAACUGACUAAGAAGCCCCGGCUAACUACGUGCCAGCAGCCGCGGGAAUACGUAGGGGGCAAGCGUUAUCCGGAUUUACUGGGUGGAAAGGGAGCGUAGACGGUGCAGCAAGGCUGAUGGGAAAGGUCGGGGCCCAACCCCGGGACUGCUUUGGAAACUGUUGAACUAGAGUACAGGAGAGGUAAGCGGAAUUCCUAGUGUAGCGGUGAAAUGCGUAGAUAUUAGGAGGAACACCAGUGGCGAAGGCGGCUUACUGGACUGUAACUGACGUUGAGGCUCGAAAGCGUGGGGAGCAAACAGGAUUAGAUACCCCUGUAGUC